AUACGGAUUUGCUAAUUUACACAGUCGGAUGAAAUUAAUUCGCUUUCAUUCGAUUUUCUGUCCGUCCGAUCCUUGUGCGUAGAUUCGUGCAUUUCUCUCUUUUUUUAACUCUCGGGCUGUUUUGUUCUUUAUCGGGCCCGCAAGCUUCUCCUGGAGACCCGUUAAUCUGGCGGGUCGCGUGUCCUAUUCUUUUUUUUUUUUUCCUUUUUCUCCCCUCUAUGGCCGGCUUUGUUCGUCUGAUUCUCAUUUCGAGCGGCAUGAGCUUGGGGGCAGAUAGCAAUGGUGAUUUUUCGCUGGACAUCUCAGUCUCUGGACUCUUGAGGCGAGCCAGUGGUUAGGCGCCCAGUUCUCCUCCCCCUGCCCCCCAAUCCCCUGCUUCCUUCUCCUCAAGCGCGCGCACAGGGAGAGGCGAAGUAGACGCCAUGGCGAUCCAGCUACGUUGUCUUCUCUGCUUCGCCUGAUUUCGCGACGCUUCUCAUUUUCCCCGUAUUAAUCUGCGAGGCCUGUGGCCCUCCCUCAUCCUCCAUCCAUCUGUGGUUGGUUUUGUGGUUCUUUUUGUAUAACAGUGACAAGUCUUUUUGGUAGCAGCAAAGUAAAUGCACCGAUAUUUUUUCAUCUUGGCGUCAUUUCUCUUUAUGUACUUCUUUCAUUUGCUGCUAACAACAAAAUAAAUGCACUGGAAAUUUGGUAGCAGCCAAAUAAGUAGCACCAAUGCUUUCUCUCAAAUUACAACUCAAUCGUUUCUUAUUGACUUUCCUCUCAUCUGGUAGAGUACUUCAUUUCCCCUUCAAAUGCUUCAUCUCUUUAACUUUCUCUUCUCUGUUUUUUCUUUGCUUUCUUUCUCUAGUAUAUGAUGUUCUUCCUUUUGCAGGCUUCUCAUGGUCCCCAUUUGUAGGCUUGCCAUGGUCUUGUUUCUGCUACCUCUUCCUUCUUUCUCCUGUUGUUCCUCUUAUUGUUUCCUUUGUUAUCCUUCCCUCUAAUCUUUGAUUUAGUUUUAUUUCAUUUCUGAAACCUAAUGAACAUUCAUAGGAUUUACAGUGUAAUUACAGCUCUAUUACAGUGUAAACUCAGGGGUAAUUACAUUGUAGUCACAGUGCAAUUUCCAGUGUAACUACAGUUCAAUUACAACAUUUACACUGUAACUUCAGGGGUAAUUACACUAUAAUUUCCAGGGCAAUCACAGUGCUAAUUUUUACUGUAAUUACAGUGUAAUUUCUGUAGUAGUUACAGUGUAUUUUUUCAGGGGUAAUCACUCUGUAAAUCACUGGGAAUAUUAGUGUAACUUCAGGUACAUCACAUGGCCGAUCACAGUGUAAUUUCAGGGGUAGUUACAGUGUAAUUUAAGGGUAUUUACGCUGUAAUUACACUGUAAGUUCAGGGAAUUUCUAGUGUAAUCUCAGUGCAAUUUUACAGUGAUCUUUCAGUGUAAUUACAUUGUAUACAGUGUAUAUUGAGGGAAAUUACAGUUUAAUUUUAGUGCAAUUUACAGUGUACUUUCGGUGUAUUACAGUGUAAGUCACAGGGCAAUCACACUGUAAUUUCAACGUCAUUACAGUGUAUUUUUAGGGCAAUAUUUUUUGGUUUGUCUUUGUUGGAUGGUAUUGCAUCUUUUUUUCUACUGUGAUCAUUUUUGUAAAUAUUCUGCUAAUGCACUGUAAAUCUACUACAAAUACUUUGUAAAAACUCAGUGUAAUUCCUGUACUAUGUAAAGAGCUAUUUUGAUCA